GAUGAACGCUGGCGGCGUGCCUAAUACAUGCAAGUCGAGCGAACGGACGAGAAGCUUGCUUCUCUGAUGUUAGCGGCGGACGGGUGAGUAACACGUGGAUAACCUACCUAUAAGACUGGGAUAACUUCGGGAAACCGGAGCUAAUACCGGAUAAUAUUUUGAACCGCAUGGUUCAAAAGUGAAAGACGGUCUUGCUGUCACUUAUAGAUGGAUCCGCGCUGCAUUAGCUAGUUGGUAAGGUAACGGCUUACCAAGGCAACGAUGCAUAGCCGACCUGAGAGAGUGAUAGGCCACACUGGAACUGAGACACGGUCCAGACUCCUACGGGAGGCAGCAGUAGGGAAUCUUCCGCAAUGGGCGAAAGCCUGACGGAGCAACGCCGCGUGAGUGAUGGAGGUCUUCGGAUCGUAAAACUCUGUUAUUAGGGAAGAACAUAUGUGUAAGUAACUGUGCACAUCUUGACGGUACCUAAUCAGAAAGCCACGGCUAACUACGUG
rnacentral:rRNA from 1 species